rnacentral:lncRNA from 1 species
CUACUCCAAACAGUGAAUCUAAACCUACUGAAGUCAACAUACAUAAAAAGGAUCCAAAUGGUUAGGAACCAAGAGAAUGUACAGUCAAACUUAGUAGUCUCACUGUGAGUAGCCAAUAACACCAUAGAUCAAAGGAUCACUCGCACCAUGCAGCAACGAGAAGAUCACUGACGAGUGAGUAGACAUCCAUAUGAUUCUCAUGUUGGUCAUGUUCAAUGUAAGUUAUUUUCUAACAACCAUCCACACUCUCACUCCAGUAUCCUUCCAUGGCAGACUGAAGACUCAUUUGCCCACA